UCUCCGUUGGUGAACCAGCGGAGGGAUCAUUACCGAGUGCAAACUCUUAACCCUUUGUGAACCUAUAUCUGUUGCUUCGGCGGCUCGCUCUCGGGCGAGCCCGCCGGUAAUAUCAGUAUCUCUGUUUGAACCCGACGAUACUUCUGAGUGUUCUUAGCGAACAGUUAAAACUUUUAACAACGGAUCUCUUGGCUCUA
rnacentral:misc_RNA from 1 species